rnacentral:rRNA from 1 species
AGAGUUUGAUCCUGGCUCAGGACGAACGCUGGCGGCGUGCUUAACACAUGCAAGUCGAACGAUGAACUCCAGCUUGCUGGGGGGAUUAGUGGCGAACGGGUGAGUAACACGUGAGUAACCUGCCCUGGACUCUGGGAUAACCCCGAGAAAUCGGAGCUAAUACCGGAUAGGACCUUUCCUCGCAUGAGGGUUGGUGGAAAGUUUUUCGGUUUGGGAUGGACUCGCGGCCUAUCAGCUUGUUGGUGAGGUAAUGGCUCACCAAGGCGUCGACGGGUAGCCGGCCUGAGAGGGUGACCGGCCACACUGGGACUGAGACACGGCCCAGACUCCUACGGGAGGCAGCAGUGGGGAAUAUUGCACAAUGGGCGCAAGCCUGAUGCAGCAACGCCGCGUGCGGGAUGACGGCCUUCGGGUUGUAAACCGCUUUUAGUAGGGAAGAAGCCUUCGGGUGACGGUACCUGCAGAAAAAGGACCGGCUAACUACGUGCCAGCAGCCGCGGUAAUACGUAGGGUCCGAGCGUUGUCCGGAAUUAUUGGGCGUAAGGAGCUCGUAGGCGGUUUGUCGCGUCUGCUGUGAAAUCCCGAGGCUCAACCUCGGGCCUGCAGUGGGUACGGGCAGACUUGAGUGGUGUAGGGGAGACUGGAAUUCCUGGUGUAGCGGUGGAAUGCGCAGAUAUCAGGAGGAACACCGAUGGCGAAGGCAGGUCUCUGGGCACUUACUGACGCUGAGGAGCGAAAGCGUGGGGAGCGAACAGGAUUAGAUACCCUGGUAGUCCACGCCGUAAACGUUGGGCGCUAGAUGUGGGGACCUUUCCACGGUUUCCGUGUCGUAGCCAACGCAUUAAGCGCCCCGCCUGGGGAGUACGGCCGCAAGGCUAAAACUCAAAGGAAUUGACGG